UACGUAGGGUGCGAGCGUUGUCCGGAAUUAUUGGGCGUAAAGGGCUCGUAGGCGGUCUGUCACGUCGGGAGUGAAAACUCGGGGCUUAACUCCGAGCCUGCUUCUGAUACGGGCAGACUAGAGGUAUGCAGGGGAGAAUGGAAUUCCUGGUGUAGCGGUGAAAUGCGCAGAUAUCAGGAGGAACACCGGUGGCGAAGGCGGUUCUCUGGGCAUGUCCUGACGCUGAGGAGCGAAAGUGUGGGGAGCGAACAGG
rnacentral:rRNA from 1 species